GAGGGUGUAGCUCAGUGGUAGAGUGCAUGCUUAGACAUGCAUGAGGUCCUGAGUUCACUCUCUAGUACCUCCA
rnacentral:tRNA from 1 species